rnacentral:misc_RNA from 1 species
UGAUAUGGGGAGGCCGCGGGCAGUGCGUACUGCCGAAGAACAAGCUGCUCACGAGGCCCAACUUCGACACCGCAGACGUGAGCGUGAGCGAAAGCGGCGGGCGGCACGAACCAGCGAGGAGCGUGCGGAAGAGGCUGCUCGUAAGCGGCGGGCUCGAGCGGAAAGCCCUCCCGAUCGCGAUGCGAUUAAUGCGGCGCAACGACGGAGGGCGGUGAUGCAAUAGAUGAAAAACUCUCAGCAUGCAGCAGGUCCAAGUCAUCAAGCACCACCUUCCACUGGGAACCAUGGCUAGGCUGUGAUGAUAAGUGCGUUGGUGAGGACAACGCCUUGCCCCUGCAUGCCGAUCAGUCUUGUCAGACGGAACACCACAUCACCCUAGUGCAGUGCGCAAGAUUGCACAUUUCAACUUGCUGCAUCGGAGUCCAGGUUGAUGUCUCGUGACGGUGCUGUUAAGGUGAGCGCACAAUAUGUGUGAACAGGUGUAUCUGAUAAACCAGCAUAGUUUUCCUCCUGUACUUUUCAUUUAAUGCGAGACAGCCAAACAUUUCAAGUUGGGCCUAGGAAUAUCAGCGGGAUACUGACAACCAUUUUAUCACAAAUGUCUAUGGCUGGCUCGAAACGCAAGCAUAUUCUUUGAGCAUCAUGCAUCACUCCAAAGCAGAGUCAUCUCCUGUCAUAAAACAAGAGCUCCAAGGUAUACAGAAGUGGUUUACAGAAUGUACACCUACAGUAAGACCUCAGUUGUCCAUUUCAUUUUGAUCUCUAACACUUUAAUACACUGGUACCGUUUAGCUUUCAUAGGGUCAUGUGUAAUAGCUUUCUCCUUUGUUACGUCUAGCUGCUGCAAUGGUGCACCACUGACAUAUCACUGCCCAUUGGCAGUUGACCACUGCAUGCGUUAGUUUAGUUAAGCAACAUAUUUUUAUAUUUUAUGCUCAUGGAGCAUUACAGAGGGGGCAUGUACAAACCAUUUGUCAAAUUAAACAACAUAUGAAGUAACACAAAAGAAAUAACAUUAGUUGUUCGUAGCAGGUGCCUUAUUGCACUGUUUACUGUCAACAGUUUGAGAAAUUGUUCUUGCAGGAAUAAGUAGAGAUCAAAACUUGAAAAUUGAGGAAUUUUGAAUGUCAGCUUGAUGUGGUCAAAUCCAUUUUCGCAGUUCCUGCAUGACCAGGUUGACAGAACGAAGAAGCUGCUCAACGCAACAAUGGCAGCAUCUGCGUGGCCUCGGUGGCACACCUGUCCAUGACGACAUGUAGGCCUCCCUCACACUCAGACACAAAAGCCAGAAAAGUGGCAGAAGCCAGCGAAUCUUUUUCUGCAGUUUGAUGAUUGCACUGUUCGCAUCUGUUGCCACAACUUUUGGCUACUUCACCAUGUGCAUGUGCUGCUGAUGUCCAGUUUUUUUAAGAACUGUGAUGUUUGCCAGUACGUGAUUUAAAAGUCUUUAUCCAUUAUCAAAAGUAUGAAAAUCAGGGUUUCUGCAACAAGAACGAAUUUCCUCAAUGCCUUCGCAUGCAACCUGAAAGUGAAGACUUCCAUUUGGACUGGCGUUGCAAACAUUUCGGUGUGUUCGUAAGUUUCAAGUUGUCUGUAUGAAUUGUCAUUAACUGCUUUUUUGUACAGAAAUCCUGGUCUGCAUACCUUGAUCAUGGGUGUACCUGUAUUCAUUUCUCAACUGUAGAUGAUGUACACUACCAGUUUGGCUUUCCUGUAGUGCACAGCCAAAGUCAAUGAACAUGUGCAGCCGUCGGGCUGUUUUACUUGUUCUUGGGGCACUGUUAUCACAGCCAGGCUAACCUGUCAGAAUCACUGACUGCAGCUGCCAGCAGCAGUGGAACUGUGAGACGAACCGUCAACUAUCUCAAGGCACUUUCAAAACUGCAUUGGGCCAUCUGUGUUGCAUCAACUCUUGAGCAGUGGCGUAGUAACGGGGGGGCCAGGGGGCCGCGGGCCCCGGGUGCCAG